AGUGAACGCUGGCGGCAGGCCUAACACAUGCAAGUCGAGCGGCAGCGCGGGGGCAACCCUGGCGGCGAGCGGCGGACGGGUGAGGAAUACAUCGGAAUCUACCCAGUCGUGGGGGAUAACGUAGGGAAACUUACGCUAAUACCGCAUACGACCUGAGGGUGAAAGCAGGGGACCGCAAGGCCUUGCGCGAUUGGAUGAGCCGAUGUCCGAUUAGCUAGUUGGUGAGGUAAAGGCUCACCAAGGCGACGAUCGGUAGCUGGUCUGAGAGGAUGAUCAGCCACUCUGGAACUGACAGACGAUCCAGACGCCGACAGGAAGCAGCAGUGGGGAAUAUUGGACAAUGGGCGCGAGCCAGAUCCAGCCAUGCCGCGUGUGUGGAGAAUGCCUUCGGGUUGUAAAGCACUUUUGUCCGGAAUGAAAUCCUGUCGGUUAAUACCUGGCGGGGAUGACGGGACCGGGAGAAUAAGCACCGACUAACUUCGUGCCAGCCGCCGCGGUAAAAC
rnacentral:rRNA from 1 species